rnacentral:rRNA from 1 species
UGAUCCGGAGAUGUCUGAAUGGGGAAACCCACAUGAGCAAACCUCAUGUAUCCUACAGCCAAUACAUAACUGUAGGAAGGGAACCCGGGGAACUGAAACAUCUAAGUACCCGGAGGAAAAGAAAGAAAACUCGAUUCCGUAAGUAGCGGCGAGCGAACGCGGAGGAGCCUAAACCGGAAUGCGUGCAUUCCGGGGUUACGGACUGCAUUUAAGAUUCUCUGAAGCUAACAGAACGGUUUUGGGAAAGCCGGCCGGAGAGGGUGAAAGCCCCGUACGUGAAAGCAGAGCUGACUGAGCAGGAUCCAGAGUACCACGAGACACGUGGAACCUUGUGGGAAAUCAGGGGGACCACCCCCUAAGGCUAAAUACUACUUAGUGACCGAUAGCGCAUAGUACUGUGAAGGAAAGGUGAAAAGGACCCCGGGAGGGGAGUGAAAGNUGAUCCGGAGAUGUCUGAAUGGGGAAACCCACAUGAGCAAACCUCAUGUAUCCUACAGCCAAUACAUAACUGUAGGAAGGGAACCCGGGGAACUGAAACAUCUAAGUACCCGGAGGAAAAGAAAGAAAACUCGAUUCCGUAAGUAGCGGCGAGCGAACGCGGAGGAGCCUAAACCGGAAUGCGUGCAUUCCGGGGUUACGGACUGCAUUUAAGAUUCUCUGAAGCUAACAGAACGGUUUUGGGAAAGCCGGCCGGAGAGGGUGAAAGCCCCGUACGUGAAAGCUGAUGAGACUGAGCAGGAUCCAGAGUACCACGAGACACGUGGAACCUUGUGGGAAAUCAGGGGGACCACCCCCUAAGGCUAAAUACUACUUAGUGACCGAUAGCGCAUAGUACUGUGAAGGAAAGGUGAAAAGGACCCCGGGAGGGGAGUGAAAGAGAACCUGAAACCCUGUGUCUACAAGCUGUGGAAGCACUUUAUAUGUGCGACCGCGUACUUUUUGUAGAACGGUCCGGCGAGUUACGCUUACUGGCAAGGUUAAGCACUUCAGGUGUGGAGCCGUAGGGAAACCAAGUCUUAAGAGGGCCUUAAGUCAGUAGGAGUAGACCCGAAACCGGGUGAUCUAUCCAUGUCCAGGUUGAAGCUGCCGUAAGAGGUAGUGGAGGACCGAACCCACAUCCGUUGAAAAGGGUGGGGAUGAGGUGUGGAUAGGGGAGAAAUUCCAAUCGAACCCGGAGAUAGCUGGUUCUCCUCGAAAUAGCUUUAGGGCUAGCCUCGAUACAGAUUUGCGGAGGUAGAGCACUGAAUUUCCUAGGGGGCGUCAAAGCCUACCGAAGAAUAUCAAACUCCGAAUGCCGCGUAAUCGAUUAUCGGGAGUCAGACUGCACGAGAUAAGUUGGGCGGUCAAAAGGGAAAGAGCCCAGACCUUCAGUUAAGGUCCCCAAGUGCGCGUUAAGUGGAAAAGGAUGUGGGAUUUCGAAGACAACCAGGAUGUUGGCUCAGAAGCAGCCAUCCAUUCAAAGAGUGCGUAAUAGCUCACUGGUCGAGAGGUCCUGCGCCGAAAAUGUCCGGGGCUGAAACGCGCCACCGAAACUAAGGAACCGAAAGGUUGGUAGAGGAGCAUUGCAUGCGGGAAGAAGCAGUACCGUAAGGAGCUGUGGACUGCAUGGAAGAGAGAAUGCCGGAAUGAGUAGCGAGAAUAAGGUGGGAAUCCUUAUGGCCGAAUAUCCAAGGUUUCCAGAGUAAAGCUGAUCUGCUCUGGGUAAGUCGGGGCCUAAGGCGAGGACGAGAGUCGUAGCCGAUGGACAACAGGUGGAGAUUCCUGUACUGCGGUAUGACAGAACUGUGGGGACACGUAAGGAAAGCGGAAGCCGGGAAUGGAAAGCCCGGUGCAAGCGGGGUACCAGCCACUUUGGCAAAUCCGGGUGGCAAUGGGAAGCCGUGAUGCGGAGCGAAAUAAAGUAGCGAAGUCCGUGAGCCAUGCGUCAAGAAAAGCCGCUAUCGUUUAUACCGUACCCGUACCGUAAACCGACACAGGUGGAUGAGGAGAGAAUCCUAAGGCCGGCGGAAGAAGCAUUGUCAAGGAACUCGGCAAAAUGGCCCCGUAACUUAGGGAUAAGGGGUGCCUGGGAAACCAGGCCGCAGAGAAUAGGCUCAAGCAACUGUUUAGCAAAAACACAGGUCUAUGCGAAACCGAAAGGUGAGGUAUAUGGGCUGACGCCUGCCCGGUGCUGGAAGGUUAAGAGGAGAGGUUAGCGGUAACGCGAAGCUUUGAAUUUAAGCCCCAGUAAACGGCGGCCGUAACUAUAACGGUCCUAAGGUAGCGAAAUUCCUUGUCGGGUAAGUUCCGACCCGCACGAAAGGCGUAAUGAUUUGAGCGCUGUCUCGACAAUGCAUCCGGUGAAAUUGAAGUACCAGUGAAGAUGCUGGUUACCUGCGCCAGGACGGAAAGACCCCAUGGAGCUUUACUCCAGUCUGGUACUGGGACUCGGUAUUGCAUGUACAGGAUAGGUGGGAGGCUAGGAGAUGGUAACGCCAGUUGCCAUGGAGCCGCUGUUGGGAUACCACCCUUGCAGUAUUGGGUUUCUAACCAGCCGCCGUGACCCGGCGGUGGGACAAUGCCAGACGGGGAGUUUGACUGGGGCGGUCGCCUCCGAAAGGGUAUCGGAGGCGCCCAAAGGUUCCCUCAGAAUGGACGGAAACCAUUCGAAGAGUGCAAAGGCAGAAGGGAGCUUGACUGCGACACCGACGGGUGGAGCAGGUACGAAAGUAGGGCUUAGUGAUCCGGUGGUAUUAAGUGGGAAUGCCAUCGCUCAACGGAUAAAAGCUACCCUGGGGAUAACAGGCUUAUCACUCCCAAGAGUUCACAUCGACGGAGUGGUUUGGCACCUCGAUGUCGGCUCAUCGCAUCCUGGGGCUGUAGUAGGUCCCAAGGGUUGGGCUGUUCGCCCAUUAAAGCGGUACGCGAGCUGGGUUCAGAACGUCGUGAGACAGUUCGGUCCCUAUCCGGCGUGGGCGUAGGAUAUCUGAGAGGAGCUGUCCUUAGUACGAGAGGACCGGGAUGGACGGGCCGCUGGUGCAUCGGUUAGACUGCCAAGUCUACGGCCGAGUAGCCAAGCCCGGAAGGGAUAAACGCUGAAGGCAUCUAAGCGUGAAGCCCCCCUUAAGAUGAGAUAUCCCAUUCG